rnacentral:rRNA from 1 species
GAGGGAAGNNUGCCNUAUGGGUUGUAAACCUNUUUUGUCAGGGAGCNANGCNGNNUNCGNGUAGCNGGNNUGAGAGUACCUGAAGAAAAAGCAUCGGCUAACUCCGUGCCAGCAGCCGCGGUAAUACGGAGGAUGCGAGCGUUAUCCGGAUUUAUUGGGUUUAAAGGGUGCGUAGGCGGAANGNCAAGUCAGCGGUAAAAUCGCGGGGCUCAACCUCGCUCCGCCGUUGAAACUGGCGUUCUUGAGUGGGCGAGAAGUAUGCGGAAUGCGUGGUGUAGCGGUGAAAUGCAUAGAUAUCACGCAGAACUCCGAUUGCGAAGGCAG